rnacentral:lncRNA from 12 species
UAGAAGCUGCCCUUCUGGCCCCAGCUCCAAGACUGCCUCCUCCGGGAAGCCUGCCUUCCUUCAAGCUACAGUUGUUUGCACCUGCCUCGUGCCUCAUGCCUCCUCUUCCCCAAGGGAGCUGGAGCUGCUGGAGGGCAGCGUGGGUCCUACUCAAGAGGCACCCCCCUCUCCUCAGCAAGCUCUCCUCGGUGGGUUGAACCUGUGCGGCCUUUCCACUCAGGUCACAGGGUCUCUGACCUUCUGGUUUUUCCUCCGUGGGCUCCACUGCCCUCUUCUCCUCCUCUUCCUCUCCCUCCUCCUUCGGUCCUGCUCGCUCCGCUCUUCCUCUCUCCCGCUCCUCUUCCCCCGCGCCCCCCGCCCCCCGCCCCCGGGCCCGGGCCGGCCGCUGCAGUUCCCCCGGCGGCCUGCAGAGGGGGCCGCUCCGCGGCGGCGCUUCCUGUGAGGUCAGGUGGGAGGAAGCGGCCGGGAGCCGGGAGCCGGGAGUGGACGCCGCCGAGGCCCGCAGCCGCGCCCGCAGGUUUUUGAGGCCUAGGGAAAGACGCAGCCCAGCAGGGACCCGUAGCUCCUGGGAGGAUGGUGCGGAUCUUGGCCAAUGGGGAAAUUGUGCAGGAUGACGACCCCCGUGUGAGGAACACCCUCCCGUCACGCAGUAGCACCCCUCGACAGAGCUUUCUCAAUAGGGGCCACGGUGCCCCCCUGGGGGGAUCUGGCCCUCGCCAGCAGCAGGCGGGUGCUAGGCUGGGUGCUGCUCCGUCCCCCUUCAAUGACCUCAACCGGCAGCUGGUGAACAUGGGCUUCCCCCAGUGGCAUCUCGGCAACCAUGCUGUGGAGCCGGUGA